UACGGAGGGUGCGAGCGUUGUUCGGAAUCACUGGGCGUAAAGCGCGUGUAGGCGGCCUGCUAAGUCUGAUGUGAAAGCCCGAGGCUCACCCUCGGAAGCGCAUUGGAAACUGGCAGACUGGAGUCCCGGAGAGGAGGGUGGAAUUCCUGGUGUAGCGGUGAAAUGCGUAGAUAUCAGGAGGAACACCGGUGGCGAAGGCGGCCCUCUGGACGGUGACUGACGCUGAGACGCGAAAGCGUGGGGAGCGAACAGG
rnacentral:rRNA from 1 species